rnacentral:misc_RNA from 1 species
AAGGAUCAUUAUCGAAUAAACUUGAACAGGCUGUUGCUGGUCCCCAGGACAUGUGCACGCUUGUCAUCUUUAUCAUUUCUCCAACUGUGCACAUAUUGUAGACCCUGGAGGUUUUGUCUUUUGGAUUGGUUUCCGAGUUUUGGGACUGCUGUGCCUCGAAGAAAGAGGUCGGCUUUCCCUUUACAUCCUCCAGGUCUAUGUCACAACCUCUCGAACGUGUUUAGAAUGUUGAAUAAAAGGUCCUUUUGUACCUAUAAAGUUAUAAAUACAACUUUCAGCAACGGAUCUCUUGGCUCUC